AUUUUCCUGUUGCUCCUCUGGCCACCCUCCCAAUGGAUCCGUGUGGUCCCUGGCAGGAAUGUCUUGCUUGGGGACCGAGUGAGCUCUUAGAGCCUUUCUGCUGCUUCCUCUACCCCUGUAUUUUACUCAGCUCUCUAAAUUGACUCAGUGCCAGGUCUGCUGCAGUUUGCUGGAGGUCCACUCCAGACUCUAUGUACCUGGAUAUCACCAGCGGAAGCUGCAGAAUAGCAAAGAUUGCUUCCUGGUCCUUCCUCUGGAAGCUUCAUCCCAGAGGGGCACUGGCCUGAUGUCAGCUGGAGCUCUCCUGUAUGAGGUAUCUGCACAGGAGCUUAAGAGGAAAAUUGAAAGAAACCACAGACCCUUUGAAAGAAGUGGCAAACUGCAGCUUACACCAUGAGCCAGGCAGAAAACUCUGAGUCCUCAGAGUGUGAAAGGAAGAGAAACUGCCUCUGGGAUAUGCACUCCCACUGGGGAACCUGGCAAUCCAGGCCACGGGGAAGACCUUAACCCUACCCAGUGCUGGAGCUGAUUUAAUGAGCUGAGGGGAGUAUAUGAGAAGGAGCAGCUUCAGGAUGUGCUUUGCUUGCACUCCUAGACUCUACUGGGGACAGAGGGAAGCCAUUCCUGAUCCUACCUCACAGAGGACCAUGCAGAAGUCAGCCAACUAGCUCAGGCGGUGGCCAUGGGCUGAGAGGAGUGAGAAGCUCCCAACUGAGAUUCACAAUAUAAUCUCUAGCAGGGAUGGACCUCCUUGACCAGAACUGAGGGGCAAGUGGGAAGUGCGCUGUGCCCACAGGUGUAGGAGCUGGGUGCCCCUGCUUCGCUAGCAGAUCAGGAGGGGCAUGGCCUGAGCAGUUUUUGUCUUGGCAGCCAGAGAAGGCUUAUGGUCUGGGACAGUUUUGAGUGCUGAAUGCAGCCUGCUUGCAACCUAGAUGGCCGCUGCCAGUAGAACACUGUGGGUCUGAGACCUGUCUUGCCAAGUGCAUAGGGGCUGAGUGGGGCUUACUGCCACCUGUACUCCCCACUUCCUGUGUGGACUCUUCUGUGCGGCAGGGGCAACUGCACUCCUCCCUGGAACAUUAUCCCAGCAUCCAGAGAACUGCCCUCUGAUCCCCACUGGGCCACUGAUUGCACCUGCACGUGGAUAGCCAGAGCGCGAACUUGCCUGACUCAGCCCCGACCUGGUUUGCCUUUUUACCCACCCUGGUAGCUUAACACAAAGGACAGAAACUUUCGGGAGUGUUAUGGACCUGCCCAUUGCUUGAGACACCAGAGUACCUCCCCUGGUCACAUAAGCCAAGCAUGAAUUCCACCACUACUACUGCAGUCAGUGCUCUUUCGCACCAACUGCACCUCCUGGCUAUAGGCCAAUCAACAUAGUCCAUUACAACAUCUGUAGGCAGAAUAACACAGCACUGGGAAGGAGAAAACUUUUGCAUGACUACAGCUACCACCAUUGCCUGCAUCACCCUGGCUAACCAGGAGGUCUUGAGUCUGUUCACAUGACCAGAUCAUUACUACUACAACUGAAAUUAGAGAAAGCCAGCACACUAAGGCUAUUUGUAACCAAAGAAUCUCACAGAGUUUACUUUACUCCUCUGCCAGCCCCAUCAGAGCUGGUGCUGGUACCCACUGCUGGGAGACUUGAGGAUAAGUCACAUCGCUGGACCCUUUGCAGACAUUCCCUAGCACAGGCCUGGAAUGUAGCAGCCCCAUUGGGUGGCCAGAUCCAGAGCCGCAGCAGCAAUCAUAGUAGUCUGGCACUCAGGGACUCCUACUCCUAGGGUAAGCAGGAGUGCACCACAUGAAGGGAGCACCCUGUGGGACAAAGGAAUCCAGAUGGCAGGCUUUGAGUCUCAGAACUUUACAAUUGUGGGAAAUUUCUUUCAGCAGAGAGACAGGUGCAGUGCUGGGCUCAGUGGGGAAGUCUGUGGCUCUACCUCACCAGUCAGGCAGCCCUGGUGCUUGUGAAGGGUCUUGGAGAAUAGGACUUCUCCCCCUCAUGCACCACUGCUGACACAGCUGGGGUUUCUCACAAAGGAACUCGGCAUGAGUGCACCUGUAGACAGCCUUUCUGGGACCCUUCAGGUGACUGCAUUCCCACAGGACAAGUGCCCUCCAGGCUCAGGCUUGUAUGAGAGCCUCCGGUAAUCACCAUUUUACUCUCUACCUCCAUGAGAUCAACUUUUUUAGCUCCCACAGUUGGUGCUCCAUCUAUACCAGGUUGCUACUUCAUGUUUGGACUUGGAUGAAACAGCAUACUAUAAGGCAUGAAACCUGGCUUCCUGAGUGACAGCUGAGAGGAGAGAUGUAGCUGAACCAAUCAGCUACAACGUCAUUCCAGUGUCCAUACUUACAUAGUGGAAAAUCCUCUAAAGCCCACUUCUGAGAGAACACUAAUUUCUAGAUUUCACAUUUCCCGAAUCCCGUAUAAGAUCAGUUCUUUCUUGGUUCAGAGGCACUACUUUACAAAUAUUGUUCUCCCUUGCCUAGCGAGCAAUAAACUUAGCUUUUUGUUUCAGACACUGAAUGCUAUUCUUUCCUGUGACACUCCUUGAGAUUGUUCUAGAGAAGUAAGUCCCACAUGCUGAAUGUCCGAGCUUGCUAAGCAACUUGCCUUGUCUCUUAGCAGCUUGUUGUGAAGUAGUGGGCAGCUAUGGUACUAUAACACACCAAACUGCAUGGCAUCUUUACUUGACUCAUUCUUUUUCCUCACUAUCAUUGCCCUGGAUUUGUACCUCCCAAACAAAUUGUUAUCAUUUUUAUCCUUGCUUCAGGCUCUGCUUUUAUAGGAGUCCGGAUAGGACAAAGUGGGAAAGUACAAUUUUUGAUACUUCUUCCUUUGUCUC
rnacentral:lncRNA from 10 species